UAUUGAGUUAUAAAUGCUGGUACUGAUUGACUCAUCUCGGUAGAAUUAUCCUUGUGUUUGUUUUUGAGAGUAUCCUGUCUUUGAAUGGCUAAGAGCAUUAGAUGAGAUGAGUCAAUCAGUACCAGCAUUUAUAACUCAAU